AAGAACCAUCAGAUUGUUGGUUUCUUCUUGGUAUAAACAUAGCUAUAGAGAAAAUUAGGUUGUAGAUUGCUUUGGCUAUAUGCCUUUAUUAGAUUGAUAUCCCCUAUUUCAUAUAUAUAUUUUUUACUAUGGGGAGAAGGAGAUUAUUACUGGCUGAAUAAGUUAUUGUAGCGACAUAGCACUCGAGAAUUCAUGGUAGCUUUGGAGGAAAAUUAUUAAGGUAUGUUAAGGUUAUCCCUUCUCUUUUUGGCAUGAUUUCGUAAGUAUUGCGACUUUCGGGUCUAUCGAGCUAUGGGGGAAGUUGUUGUAAGAUAACUAUAAAUAGAAAUAGGAAAUCGAAAUAGCACUUAGUAAAUUCAACUCUUUAUUAUUAAUUCCCUUUAGUGCUCCCACUCCCUCAUUUGAUUAGUUUAUUUUCAGUUGUCACAUGUUAAUUAAUUGCACAUAGUUAACCGGGGAAUCUCAAUUAUAGUUUUAUCUUCUUCAUAUUAUUUGACAUUGAAUUGUGACGUCUUUAAAUGUACUUGCUCCAUAACAUAGGAGUAUAAAUACAGAAAUUAUCUAACAGUUACCAAGACUAGACAACCGUGAGUUUUUGUAAGCAACAGACUUGCGUUAAAGGAUCACCUAGACGUGAAUUAUAGUUACGGACACUAUCGUAUAUGAUCGUGAACCUUUAAAGAUGGGUGGUUACAUGAAGGUUACUUUUGGAGAGGACAUUUUACAUACAUAUGUAUAUGAAUUGUGGUGUUGCUAUUUUCAAAUUUGUACUUUACAUGUUUUAGAUAUUGUGGUGAUCUUGUCAACCCACAAAGCAACUUGGCUAUUUAUGUUGUGAACAGUUGGAUGGGCUAAGAUUUUUAUUAUGGCUCGGUGUUCAUGUUGUUUGCCCACAUCUUUAUGUAUGCAUAGUUCCUAUGCAUUACAUUUCAUGCUUUAGGGGCUAGGAUUAGGGUGUGUGCCUACAUCACAUGCAUUUCAAUUCAUUUCUUUUUGAGGCUAGGGGUCAGGACGUACGCCUACACUACAUGGAUUUUAUUUUACAUGAUUUUUUAAUCGGACUUUGAGUUUUUGUCUCUCAUUAUGUGUGGGGACUGUGGAGGUUUGGUCAGUUGUUAUUAUUAUGACGAUAUAAGAAUUAGACACAUAUAGAAUUCGUAGUCAGUUACAGAUGGUUGGUCGUCGUGUUAUAAGCGUACGAGUUAAAGUAGGGGCAAGUAAGGUUGUUAAAAUUUGGGUGUGUUGGAUCCGAUUGCUUGUGCCUUACUCCUUUUGUUUUAAUCAUGUGAUUGUGGUUAGUCGGCACCUAUCGAUCUUAGAAGUGGCCGGAUAUAUUGUGGGGUUAAUUCACUAUUAAUACUAGUUUUACCACUUACAUUAGUGUAGAAUAAUGCCUAUAAUAGGAGGAUGAACUGUGGUAGGUUGUACUGAUUUGCAACAGAAACAAGUAUGUACAGGCUAAAUUUUCUUUCCAUGACCUGAUUCUUAAUUUCAAGAUUCUGAAUCUGGUGCACUAUUGAGGGAUAUCUCAUGGAGCUUUCUGAUUAUGUUGUUCACUCCCAUUUGAAAUAAUUAUCUUAUGUCGAGAGCUCAUGUUAAUUUUGUGUUUAGUACCAAGUUGGAGGUAAUGCCCUAGAAAAAAAAUCUAGUCAUAAGGAUAGUUAUUAUGCGAUAAAACACCGAUAGGAAAAAUGUUGGGGGUUUAGAUAUAUCAUAGGGUGUGAGUAAGUAAUUUUAAAUUGUAUAGGGUUUAGUAAAACGAGCAUAUCUCGGUGUGUAAUGAUCCGUUAUAAUUAUAGAAAUAUGUUUUGGAAAUCUGACACGUAGAUCUACAACUUAUGUUCUUAUAUCAAAAGCUGAUUCUGCUUUUAUGACUCCGAAAUAGUGGACGCAAGAGAGGACCAGUUCUGCCCAGUUCUUUAGUUUAGAAGACCUCUAUGUGCUACUGUUAGUAUUUAACUGAUAUCUUCCUCUACAAAAUGUAUUUUGUGGUGAUUGUGGAUUCUUUGUGACCCUAAGAUACAUACCUAUAACUUUCAUGAAGGUUAUAAAGCUUGGUUACGCCGUCUACUUAUUCAAAACUAAGUUGCAACGCUGAAUAGUAAGGCUGUCCGGAUUCACUGUUUUACGGACUUAGUAUGAUUUGCACAAACUAAGGGUACUUUAUAUGUUAAUCUUAAUUCAUAUCAAUGUAUGGGAGUUACUGAGAAUUAAUGAGGUAUCAAAUACACUUGUUUAUAAUUUGAGGAACUUGAAACAAUUAAUUGGGUAAUAACUUGAACUUUCCAAGAUAUAGUUGGGUUGAAGAUGUGUAAAAGACUAAGGUUUGCCUAUAACUUAGAACUUUUACCCUAGUUACCCACGAAUGUAUCUGUGAUAUUUGUUAAAUUAUACCCUCUAAUUAUUUACUUGAUCGUAUACUUUAUUUGGGUAAUACGAUCAUAUGUUGCUUGAUUCGAUAUCGCUUCUGUCCCGUUAGGAUAAUGUGACCGGUAGAGUACCUGUUGGUUUGAUCAUAAACUUUAUGUCUUUAUUUGGAAUGUACAUUUGUUCCUAAUUUGUACCUAUUCACUUGCCUCAAUAGUUCUCAUGCUCAUGUACCCUUUUAAUUGUUAUCAUAUAGUAAGUAUUUAUUAUAAGUCCAACCUCUUUAUUUGAGAAGUAACGUGUCACCAAUUGAAAGCUCAAUUUUGGGAUGUCUAGAUGUGUCUUCAAUAAACUCGUGCUAAGUAGAAUUAUUUGUCCUUUUUUUUAUAACCGUAGUGGAUCAUUUAUCAACCUAAAGUCCUUACUUCUCACAUGGCCUUAUGGCUUAGUUGUGUAUAUUCACCGUGUCUAAUAAAGUUCAUUGAGUCAUAUGAAUUUCGGAGUGUCACAUUGAAGUCCCUUUUUUUGGUACUUCAUUUGUCAUUGUUGUUGCCUCGAGCAUUUUAUCUAUAUGUCUACAUCACAGUUUAUAGUUCCAACAGCUCAAAAGGAUUAUGAUCACCGAAGUAACAAUCUCAAAGGCUAAUUAAAUUAAGUAAUGGAAAUCUGUAAAAUGGGUAGCAGCCUAAGGGGUUCUUAUACCUAGCACAGGGCCAAUCUCAGUUGAUAUGUUAAUGGGUGGAAUCCCAAGGGGUUCUAUUACCUAGCACAGGGCCGAUCCUAGUUGAUGUAUUUACAGGUGGCAGCUCAGGGGCAUAAGCCUAGCAUGGGCCGAUCUUGAUUUGAUAUUUAUCACUGAUCAACAGGUCAUUUGUAUUAUAUGGAUUACAAAGAUUAUAAAGAAAGAAAGGAAAAAAAUAACAUAAUGAAUAUACUGUACAUGAUUCCACAGUUAUAACAAAAGGUGAUCUUCUAUACUUGCCCUAUGGUUACACAUUGAUAUCUGGUUUCAUUUAAGAUCUUAUUUUACAUAUGGUCACUUUAUGCCUUACAUGCUCAGUACAUUCUUUCGUACUGACGUCCCCAUUUCCUGGGGGCCACUGCAUUCAUGACUGCAGGUUAUUAGAAGGAAAAUAGGUUCUUGCUGCAUAUGAUCGAGUUCAGCUGAUGAUUGGUAUGCUUCGUUAUUUCCGGAGUUGCCGAGUCUAGAACUUAUUUUUGGUUUGUAUAAUUGAUGAAUACUACAAGGCCUGUCCCGUCUAGCGAGUAGAUUUUUCUCAUCUUAUAGGCUUGUAGACGAUUGUGGAUGUGGGUCAAGUGGUCAGUUACAGUCCAAGUGUCCUUAUGUUAUACUUUUGUUGCAUUUGUGUUACCGUCAUUAUGCUCCCUUCUUUUAAAAUUCAACUUGGCCUUGAGAGUCCACUAAUGUUAUUUGGUUGGGUUUUAGGUUGUAUGUACAGUCGAGUGUGGCACCAUGUGCUAGUCUCGCCUCUAUGAUUUUGGGGCGUGGCAAUAUCAUGGGAUGCUUAAAAGCAUAUUCAUUCAUGAAAUAGCAAUAUUUAACUUGGUCUUGAUAAUCCAUGCAUCAAUUUCAU
rnacentral:lncRNA from 1 species